AUUGAACGCUGGCGGAAUGCUUUACACAUGCAAGUCGAGCGGCAGCGCGGGGGCAACCCUGGCGGCGAGCGGCGAACGGGUGAGUAACAUAUCGGAACGUACCCAGUCGUGGGGGAUAACUAUCCGAAAGGAUAGCUAAUACCGCAUACGUCCUGAGGGAGGAAGCGGGGGAUCGCAAGACCUCGCGCGAUUGGAGCGGCCGAUAUCGGAUUAGCUAGUUGGUGGGGUAAAGGCUCACCAAGGCGACGAUCCGUAGCGGGUCUGAGAGGACGACCCGCCACACUGGAACUGAGACACGGUCCAGACUCCUACGGGAGGCAGCAGUGGGGAAUUUUGGACAAUGGGGGCAACCCUGAUCCAGCCAUUCCGCGUGAGUGAAGAAGGCCUCGGUU
rnacentral:rRNA from 1 species